rnacentral:lncRNA from 1 species
UUUCUUUGUUUAUAUAUUCAAUUAAAGUGAUUAGAGUUUUUUUUAUUUAUUUAAAUUAAAAUAUUGAUUAGAAAUUUUGAUGAGUAUAUUUUCUUAAAUAACAAAUAAAUAAUAAUUGUUUUCUAAAACAUAAGUUUACAGCUUUGGAUUUCUGGCUUUGCUAUGGGACAACUGGCUCCAACAGCUGGCAAAUGAAUGAAAGAUAAAAAAAAAAAAAGAAACUGAUCCACUACUCAAACUCACGCGUCUCUCUCUCUCUCUCUCUCUUCCCAUUCCCUCUCAUUCACCAAUCACCUAUCCAUUACUUACUCUCUCUCUCUCACAUUAAAUAAGGAAAAGGAAAAGCUGAGAGGAAAGAAAAAAAGAAAAAGGAAUACUCUCUCUUCACUCACUCACGUCUCUCUUUCCACUCAAUAACAACCCACACGUUUCCACUCCCAAUAAAAAGAUUGAGAAUUCCAAUAAUAAUCUGGCCACCUACCACUCUUUAUCUCUCUGCUCGAAAAAAAGAGAAAGAAGAAAAAAACUAAGGGCUGGUCCUCUUCGCCGGUACCACCAUCGCG